rnacentral:rRNA from 1 species
GAGUUUGAUCGUGGCUCAGAUUGAACGCUGGCGGCAUGCCUUACACAUGCAAGUCGAACGGCAGCAUGAUCUAGCUUGCUAGAUUGAUGGCGAGUGGCGAACGGGUGAGUAAUACAUCGGAACGUGCCCUGUAGUGGGGGAUAACUAGUCGAAAGAUUAGCUAAUACCGCAUACGACCUGAGGGUGAAAGUGGGGGACCGCAAGGCCUCAUGCUAUAGGAGCGGCCGAUGUCUGAUUAGCUAGUUGGUGGGGUAAAGACCCACCAAGGCGACGAUCAGUAGCUGGUCUGAGAGGACGAUCAGCCACACUGGGACUGAGACACGGCCCAGACUCCUACGGGAGGCAGCAGUGGGGAAUUUUGGACAAUGGGCGAAAGCCUGAUCCAGCAAUGCCGCGUGUGUGAAGAAGGCCUCGG